UACGUAGGGUGCAAGCGUUGUCCGGAAUUAUUGGGCGUAAAGAGCUCGUAGGCGGUCUGUCGCGUCGGCUGUGAAAACCUGAGGCUCAACCUCAGGCCUGCAGUCGAUACGGGCAGGCUAGAGUUCGGCAGGGGAGACUGGAAUUCCUGGUGUAGCGGUGAAAUGCGCAGAUAUCAGGAGGAACACCGGUGGCGAAGGCGGGUCUCUGGACCGAUACUGACACUGAGGCGCGACAGCGUGGGGAGCAAACAGG
rnacentral:rRNA from 1 species